GACAGAGGGGGCAAGCGUUGUCCGGAGUUACUGGGCGUAAAGGGCGCUGAGGCGGUCUGCGGCGUCGGCGCUGAAAGCGCCCCGCUUAACGGGGCGAGGCGUGCCGAUACGCGCAGACUUGAGGCGAGCAGAGGGUGGUGGAAUUCCGGGUGGAGCGGUGAAAUGCGUAGAGAUCCGGAGGAACGCCAGUGGGGAAGCCGGCCACCUGGGCUCGUCCUGACGUUGCGGCGGGCCAGCGUGGGGAGCAAACCGG
rnacentral:rRNA from 1 species